UGCAUAUCAAAAAGCGGAGGAAAAGAAACUAACAAGGAUUCCCCUAGUAACUGCGAGUGAAGCGGGAAAAGCUCAAAUUUAAAAUCUGGUGGUCUUUGGCCAUCCGAGUUGUAAUCUAGAGAAGUGUUAUCCGCGCUGGACCGUGUACAAGUCCCCUGGAAUGGGGCGUCAUAGAGGGUGAGAAUCCCGUCUUUGACACGGACUACCAGGGCUUUGUGAUGCACUCUCAAAGAGUCGAGUUGUUUGGGAAUGCAGCUCAAAAUGGGUGGUAAAUUCCAUCUAAAGCUAAAUAUUGGCGAGAGACCGAUAGCGAACAAGUACCGUGAGGGAAAGAUGAAAAGAACUUUGGAAAGAGAGUUAAACAGUACGUGAAAUUGUUGAAAGGGAAACGCUUGAAGUCAGUCGCGUCUGCCAGGGAUCAACCUUACUUUUGUGAGGCGUACUUCCUGGUUGAUGGGUCAGCAUCAGUUUUGGUCGCUGGAYAAAGGUCAGAGAAAUGUGGCACCUUCGGGUGUGUUAUAGUCUUUGAUCAGAUACAGUGGCUGGGACUGAGGAACUCAGCGCCGCAAGGCUGUCUUAGGAUGCUGGCAAAAUGGCUUUAAUCGACCCGUCUUGAAACACGGACAAAGGAGUCA
rnacentral:rRNA from 1 species